UACAGAGGUCUCGAGCGUUGUUCGGAUUCAUUGGGCGUAAAGGGUGCGUAGGUGGCGCUGUAAGUCGGGUGUGAAAUCCUGAGGCUUAACCUCGGAACUGCAUUCGAUACUGCGGCGCUUGAGGACUGGAGAGGAGACUGGAAUUCAUGGUGUAGCAGUGAAAUGCGUAGAGAUCAUGAGGAAGACCAGUGGCGAAGGCGGGUCUCUGGGCUGCACCUGACGCUGAGAUGCGAAAGUGUGGGGAGCAAACGGG
rnacentral:rRNA from 1 species